rnacentral:rRNA from 1 species
GAUGAACGCUGGCGGCGUGCUUAACACAUGCAAGUCGAACGGUGAGGCACAGCUUUCGCUGUGGAUCCGUGUGGAGCGGGUGAGUGACACACGAGCAACCUGCCCCUUUCUCUGUGAUAAACCCUCUAAACAGCGUGUAAUACUGCAUAUAAGAUCCGACGGCACGUUCAGCAGUUUGGAAAAUUUGGCGGUUUGGGAUUGGCUCACGGCCUAUCAGCUUGUUGGGGAGGUAAUGGCUGACCAAGGCCUCGACGGGUAGCCGGCCUGAGAGGGUGACCGGCCACACUGGGACUGAGACACGGCCCAGACUCCUACGGGAGGCAGCAGUGGGGAAUAUUGCACAAUGGGCGAAAGCCUGAUGCAGCAACGCCGCGUGCGGGAUGACGGCCUUCGGGUUGUAAACCUCUUUUAGCAGGGAAGAAGCGAAAGUGACGGUACCUGCAGAAAAAGCGCCGGCUAACUACGUG